GUGUUUUAAGUUGGUUUAAUUAAGAAUUUAUGUAGUAUUUUUAAGAAUAAAUUUCAAGCAAUUUUCAAUUUUAGUUUAGGGCGGUUCUGGAUGUUUCCAGGGCAACAAUUAAACAGCACAAAUAGCACAUGAGUAAUAAUCAAAUGUUUCCAAUGCAAAAACAAGUAGAUACGAGAUGACAAGAUAAAUUGGGGUGUAUAAAAAUAUAUUCAGAAGAUAAUUUUGUUUUUAAAAAAAUCAACUUUACUUUUUCUAAAUGUAGCAUCUGAUAAAAAAAAAAUAUUUUUUCAGGAAUGUACAACAGAUCUGACACACUUUUCUAAACUCUUUCAAGAUUAUGCCUGAGACUUCACAACAAAAGAACUGAGAAAUGCACAUUUAAGUCUGCCAACAGAUACGAGUCACAAAAAUACGCUCCUGAGGGAAUAUUGUCAUUAUUUUGCCAUUCCAUGCCGCUUCCUCAGCACUUUACAGAAUAAGUGAAAGGCAAAAAAAAAAAAAAUGGCACAUAUUAAUAUAAAUUAGGCACCUCAAAAGGAGAGGUUCAGUAUGGAGUUUGAUUAAAACUUAAAGCAACUUAACAAAGUUUACUCCAAUGUUUUAAAGUAAAAUAAAUUUCUAUCAAUGCCUGGCAAUAAACUCAUAUAAAUAUCAGGUAAGCAUUACUAAUAAACCAACAAAACACUAAUAAUAAUAAAUUAAUAUGGCACGCAAAACUUACAAUCACUGGACUUCAUUAAGCACUAGUUUGACUUUGUACAGAAAAUUUAAUUAGAAGUACAAGACAAUAUUAUAAAAUUUGUAAAACAGUAAUUAGGUUUUACUUUUAUAUGACCCAAAUUAAAUAGACAAGUUCACUAUCACCUUAAUUCUUUGUCUUGACAUCAUGUAUAACAUUUCUUUCCAGAAUUGGUGAGAAGACGUCGAGAUUCUAAUGUUUAAGAAGUUUGUAAAAAUCAUAUUCGUUAUUUAUUUCUCAUAAUAUUUAACGUGUAAAUCUUUCUACAAAUAAAAUUGUGCACUGCUCUCUAGAAUUCUUCUGUUUUUUAAAAUACUUUUUUGAAAGUUAUCUUCAACCCUUAUGGACUUGGAAUAGUGUAAAUGUUGACUUGAUGCAAAACAUGAUUCAACGGAUAACGAGAACAUUGAAUUUUCAUUAAUUGGCCUUAUAUUAAGGAAAGAUCUGGUUUUGUUAAAUGUGACCUUAAUUCAGGGGUUGUUCAUAUCAUUAAUUAUUCUAUUAGAUUUUAUCACUAUUAUAAGGUUAAUUUAAUUUGUUUAAUAUACAUAGACUAGAAUAAUAUAUAUAGUCCGAUACCAACAUUCUCAAGAAUGUUUUUCUAUUUUGGCCCCACAUUUUUAAUACUGAUUGAAAAUAAAAACUUCUUAUUUUUGUUUUUUACCAUUUUUUCCUUAAUGAACAUAAAAUCAUAUGAAUGUUAAUGACAAAAUUUCGUGGACAGCUGAGAUUCAAGAAUAUUUCCCAAGGUGCAUACUGACUCCACAACGAACCACUGAGCCGAGCACAAGCAUACGACAGUGUCAAUUUAUUCAUAUUAGAUUUGACUUACUCCGUUGCAUAGGAGGUGUCAGCUUGGCUCAUGUUACAAUAAAUGAAAGAAAGUAGUCAGAGUUAAUGUCCAUGUCUUCAAAAACGAAUAGGUGACACAGCUGGAAACGCACACAAUGGAAAGUUCGGUUUGUGAAAUUUUUUCUUGUCAGGAGGAGGAUUGAUUGAUUGGAACAUAAAAAGGGACUAAACUUAAAAGUAAUAUUAAUUUGAACAGAUGGUGGAAUAACAAUAUGUGCAUUUCAGAUACCAUAAGUGUAAAAUUACAGAAAAAAAACUUUUGUCAUA